rnacentral:rRNA from 1 species
UCGCACGGUUUAAUACGCCGUGUGGAUGACGGUACCUGCAGAAUAAGCACCGGCUAACUACGUGCCAGCAGCCGCGGUAAUACGUAGGGUGCAAGCGUUAAUCGGAAUUACUGGGCGUAAAGCGUGCGCAGGCGGUUCGGAAAGAAAGAUGUGAAAUCCCAGGGCUUAACCUUGGAACUGCAUUUUUAACUCCCGAGCUAGAGUAUGUCAGAGGGGGGUGGAAUUCCGCGUGUAGCAGUGAAAUGCGUAGAUAUGCGGAGGAACACCGAUGGCGAAGGCAGCCCCCUGGGAUAAUACUGACGCUCAUGCACGAAAGCGUGGGGAGC